UCGCUGUCGGUUAGUUGGUGGAUAUAUUAGGCAUUAUGGCAGCACUCCAUAAAGGGACCAGGAAGGGGUAUCUUCGGUCUUCUGUCACCAAACGUCGUAGCAAUGACGCGUGUGACGAGAAGAGGUUACUUUAACUUAUUCCUUUUCGCUGGGGCUUUUUGCAAAAGAAGGCUAAUAAUGAAACUUAAAUGGUCUAAAUAACAUUGUUAAGUUAAUUUAAAUUUCAUUUUUUUCUUUUUUAAAUGUGAUUAUUGAGUUAUUUUUGUGAAAGAUAACUAAUUAUUGCAACUUAUAUGCAGCUAAAGAUUUAUUUUGUUGAUCUGUACUAGUUUAAGUGUUUAAAUACUAAGUUUUCAUAAGAUUUCUAAGACUGUUCAGUUGGCUUUCAAGUUAAUGUAACAACCCAAUGUGAUAAAUAAAGAACAAAAGAUUUUGGUA